UUAUAUCUUACUCAGAAAAAUAAUGUUCAAAAUAACGUUCAAAGCAAUAAAUUCAAAAGUCACUUUAUGUUUUUAAAUAAAUUAUCAAGCCAAUCCUAGCGGCACUGCAAUGCUAGGCUGACUCACGACAGAGGUGGAGCAAGCACCAACCCUCCGUCAGAUUCCAAAAAUCAGUUUAAUAUUCUGACUUCCCAAUGGGAAGUGUAUCAGAUAUUAAGCUGAUAAGAACAGAUACUACACUUUGAUCUUAGCCAUAAGGCCGAGAAGCGAUACCAUUUCUGAUUUUCUUUCCGAAUAUAACAUCUGUAUCUCCUAAAUUUCCUAGCGAGAAAUGGUACUCUAAAGAAACCACCUAGCGGUGGGGUUUUCAACUACUUUUAUUUAUGUAUAGGGUGUAAGAUAAGCAUACGUCACGGUUCAUAAAACUGAUUCUGUCGUUGAUUUAAGAGAGAUUAUGUAAAUAAAGAUAUUGCAUAUCAUAAAUUUUUGGAAAUUUUAAGGGAAAGUCAAUUAUGUGGUAUUUUUAUCUAAUUAAUUUUCACCGAAUAAACUGGUAAUACGGAAAUAAUCUGAUAUUUUUCUUACAUUCUAUACACAAAGUAGAAUAGUUGGACACCCUAACCUAAUCCUAGCCAAACUCUAACCUCACCAUUAAGGGUAAUUGGAAAUUCAUAAAAUAUAUUUAAAAAGAAAAAAAUAA